AAAGAAGAACCCAUCCAGAGGACCUACUUAUUUUUUCUUUUUGAAGUUCAGAGAUCAUCUGUAAGAUCUGAAUGAACUAAGACAGAAAGCCAGCCCCUCCUCCACACUCAGAUCACAAUAAUGAAGUGAUCUCACCAGUUUUCUAGGCAGUUAUUCCUCCAGGCCUCGGCCCAACUGCUGAACAGUGUGAACAGCAGGGGGAGCUGCUCUGUCUGAAAUGAACCAGCCACUCUAAACCAAAUUAGAAUCUGAGCAAAGAUAACAUCCAGUCAGACAGAAACAGAUGAAAAGGACGGAGGAGCUAAUCCACAUCGCAUGCUUCAAAUGGGGCUCAAUCGGAUCCUAGUGGGACUUCAGGAAAAAAAAAACAUUUCCUUUGCCGGAGUCAGAAGAAACUAAUGAAAUCCAGCUGCUGGUACCAGCAAAUCCGGCGUCCUGAGGCAUCACCAGCUGAAAGAAGGCAUCAGAAAACCGAAGAGGCUCCUCUGGCUACAUGCCUGUUCACAGGGCUCUCAUGCUAAAGAGGUUAGAGACCUGGCACCUGACAAACACCUGACACCAGGUUGCACUCUCAAGACUUUUUCAAGACUUUCCAGGACCAAUUUCCUGAAAUUAGAGGACCACGCUUGGUGGCAUUUACCUACUGCUACUGCUGGAUACGUCAUCAAUAAAGGAUUUUAAACACAAUACAAAUUCAAUAAAAAAAUUAAUGACA